rnacentral:rRNA from 1 species
AGCAUGGAAUAUGAAAUAGGACGUGCGGUUCUAUUUUGUUGGUUUCUAGGACCGCCGUAAUGAUUAAUAGGGACAGUCGGGGGCAUCAGUAUUCAAUUGUCAGAGGUGAAAUUCUUGGAUUUAUUGAAGACUAACUACUGCGAAAGCAUUUGCCGAGGAUGUUUUCAUUAAUCAGGAACGAAAGUUAGGGGAUCGAAGACGAUCAGAUACCGUCGUAGUCUUAACCAUAGACUAUGCCGACUAGGGAUCGGACGAUGUUAUUUUUUGACUCGUUCGGCACCUUACGAGAAAUCAAAGUGCUUGGGCUCCAGGGGGAGUAUGGUCGCAAGGCUGAAACUUAAAGAAAUUGACGGAAGGGCACCACCAGGGGUGGAGCCUGCGGCUUAAUUUGACUCAACACGGGGAAACUCACCAGGUCCAGACACAAUGAGGAUUGACAGAUUGAGAGCUCUUUCUUGAUUUUGUGGGUGGUGGUGCAUGGCCGUUCUUAGUUGGUGGAGUGAUUUGUCUGCUUAAUUGCGAUAACGAACGAGACCUUAACCUGCUAAAUAGCCCGUAUUGCUUUGGCAGUACGCCGGCUUCUUUAGAGGGACUAUCGGCUCAAGCCGAUGGAAGUUUGAGGCGAUAAACAGUCUGUGAUGCCCUUAGAUGUUCUGUGGCGCACGCGCGCUACACUGACAGAGCCAGCGAGUACUCCCUUGGGCCGGAAGGCCC